rnacentral:lncRNA from 1 species
GGUUUCUAUAAGGAUGUGAACUUGUGGGUAAACACCCCACAUAUCUGGAAUAAGUUAUAUAAACCAUCAUGCGGGUUGCCAGGAACUCUUUAGGGACCCCUCAAAAUGCCAGCUUCCUUCCACGCCUGUCGUUUAUGUGAACAGCCCACACUGCAGUAUGAGCUGGGGGGUUAAGCAUUGGCAUGUAUGGUAGGAAAGAGUGGGCCCAUUUUAUUUGAAAUUAAUCUAAAGAAGUGAUUCGUUGAGGCUCCGGGGGGUAACUGUGAAAAAGCGGUCCUUUGCUAAUUUAAAACACGUGGAACUUCUGCUGCUCAACUUUUCUUCUCUUCCGGUGGCUCUCAACUUGAGCUGCUCAUUGGAAUCACCCGGGCUGCACCCCAGGCCAAUUAAAUGAAAAUCUCUGAGGGCAUCGGUAUUUUUAGAUUCCUCAGGCAGAUGGGCUGGAUCCUCCAGGAAGCAGACGCUGAGUUGGAGUUGGGGGUUAAUGCCUAUGACAGAUAAAAAGGGAAGAAAGAACGGGACGAAGAACACCUGCAGAGGGCAACGCACAGCUGGCACCUGGGAAAGGAAGGCAGGAAGGAAGCAGGACCGCCCCGAAGAUUCCUUUGGGCAGAAACAGCCAGAUCCAGUGCCCUGCCUUCCUCACUCGUCGCCUGGGCGCCCGGGAAGACCGGGGGCGGGGAAAGCGCGGCCCUGAGAGCUGGGGGCGCUGAGCUCCUGCCGCCGAGCCGCAAGCUCCCUCUUGCAGGGACCUCCCGGCGCGCCUCUCUGUGACCUCAGAGGGCGGCCGAGAGGAGCACCAGCUCGCUACUCUCCAAACGGGAAGGCUCCACCCUCAGCAAAACCGUGUUUAAGAAGGAGGCGGGGGGCUGGCCCCAUGGCUGAGUGGUUGGGUCUGUGCGCUCCGCUGCAGGCGGCCCAGUGUUUCGUUGGUUCGAAUCCUGGGCACGGACAUGGCACUGCUCAUCAAACCACGCUGAGGCAGCGUCCCACAUGCUACAACUAGAAGGACCCACAACGAAGAAUAUACAACUAUGUACUGGGGGGCUUUGGGGAGAAAAAGGAAAAAAUAAAAUCUUUAAAAAAAAAAAAAAAAAGAAGGAGGCGGGACCCUGCCUUCCUGGAGGAAGGGGCAGGAGUAAACAGAAUAGGGGAGGGGCCACCCUUGCCCUCGGGUGGUGUGUGUUCUCUUCACAGCACCAAACACGAACCAGCCAGGAGCUGCUGCACAAGUCGCCUCACCCACCCGAGCCUCAGUUCUCAGCUGUACUCAGGGGGAACAGAAAUCAGGGAUUAACAAGCUGGAAAAACUCAAAGGAGAGGUCACUGGAAAAUUACUAAGGUGCUUAUUAAAUCAAAGGAAGACUGCAUUUAUGUUCUUCCGGUUUCGAGGACUGAUUGCUGCUAAUCUUGAUUUCAGAGUAACUCAAGAGCUUAAAAAAUACGCCAGAUGCCACAGAAUCAGAGAACACCUGACAGAUGUCGAAACGGGUGAAGCGCUUUGCCCAGGUCACCCCCCCAGCUUGGGUGUUUAUGCAUCUAUGUCACCACUGACUCCUGCUGGGUCAGGGUUCAUGCCCUUGUCUGUGCCAUGGACCCUUCUGGCAAUCUGGGGAAGCCUAGCGACGGAUUCCAUCUCAGAACGAUGAUUUCAAAUACAUGAAGUAAAAAGCUUUAGUUCCCUUCUCAGAAUAGUGAUUUUAAAUGCAUGAAUUAAAAUACAUAGACACAUGAAAUAACCAAUUCUACUUGAGUUAUUAAAAUAAUUUAAAAAUACAAAACAGUAAUACGUGCUUCAUUUUUAACAUAUUAAACAAUUAAAUUUAUUCCCAUAAUUUCUAAGUAGUGAUAUGUAAAUUGUUUU